ACUAUUUCAUGCAAGGAGAUCGUUGAACACGAGUUUCAGUACGAUCAAAUGUCUUAACUGUGACCCCAAGAAACCUACUCCGGGGGUAAAAGCCUCGCGAACAAAAACUGCGCUGAGGAAAACAAAGCGGAGAUGGCCAAGGCCGCGCGCGGAUCUCGGUGCACACAAAGAAGCCAGAGCCAUGCUGGCGCGCUGCGGCGGCGCAUGCGCGGCUCAGCGGGUGAGAGUAACAGGGCUGGAACCCAGGGGCCUUUUUCAUGACAAGGAGAAGGGGGAUUCUGAGGAUAUCUGGGGUCUCAACAUCCCCUACUAUCCCCACUCUGUGAACCCAGGGGCUCAGGAAAUCAAGGACAGCAGAGACUGCCGAACCUCACACUGGAGAAGCCAGCUGCUGGGCGCCUUCUGCUCACUCGAAGACAGAGCUGGUCUCAGCAGGCCACAAGCAUCAUCCCUUGUUGGUGGCUCCUCCUUAAGCAAUGGAUCUUUCUCCUCCUCACUUUUCUUCUCCAUUAAAUGGGGCGAACAAGGGUGUUAAAAGACAUAAUUGCCAUUUAUAGGGAGCCGUGGCGUCUUGGAUGAAAGUCUCUGGAGCUGGGGAAAGCUUGUCCAAAAUGAGUUCAUUCUUUGAUCAACAGAGACCAAGGGAGAAAAACACUCCCUGCAUCAUCUAGAAUUAUCUGGCCUGGUUUGGUGUUCUAGUUUGCUGUUGUUUCUGUGAUAAAAUGCUGACCAAAGCCAACUUGGAGAAGAAAAGGUUUAUUUUGUUGUACAACUUCCAGGUCACAGUGGACCACUGAGGGCAGGAACUGAGGCAGCGGCUACUGGGGGACACUCCUUACGUCCUGCUCUCCACAGCUCACCCAGUCUGUUUUCUUGUGCCACCCAAGACCAGCUGCUGCCCAGGAGUGACCCACCCACCAUGGGCUGGACUGUUCCUUAUCAGCCAUUAAUCAAAACAACAACAACAAAAAGUUCUACGUUUUCUCCCCUGCGUGCCAAUCAGAUGGAGGUAGUUUCUCAAUCAAGGUUCCUUCCUCCUGGGUGAAGCUAGUUUAUAUGGAGUUGACAAAAAGCUAGACAGCACAUGUGGGUAGCAAGGUUUUAUCUAACCGAUGGCCUAUGGGGACUUUUUUGCUCUCUUUUGAACAGUGUUCACAACCCUUGACUUGUACGCCAGGCUUAGGUUACGAAGGGAUGUUGGAUCAGCAGGACUGUAAGCAUUCACGCUUCUGCUCCCACGCACACAGUAAAUGCUCAGUAAAUAUUUGCUAGAAAAACCAGUUAGUUACUUUAUUUGCUCAAAUUUAUGAAACAGGUUUAAGAACCAGAUUGCCCUAACAGUUUCAGACCCCAAGAUGAUGAAGAAUAUAAUGGAAUAGAUGACAUUAUUGCCUUGAAUUAUUAAUAAUGUUCAUGCACCAUUAAGAAUAAAGAGGCUGGGCUCAUGAGAUGGCUAAGAAGGUAAAGGAGAGUGUGCUGUGUAAGGCUGGUAACCUGAGUUCAAUCUUCAGGACCCCCAUGUUGGAAGGAGAGAACCAACUCCCACAAGUUGUCCUUUGACCUCUGUAUAUGCACUGUGGCAUGUGCACCUGUGACCUCUGUAUGUGCACUGUGGCAUGUGCAUCAACACAUAUCAACAUGCAUUUGGAAUAAAUUAAUACAGAAAAAAUAAAUAAAUAAAUAAGCCACAAAAAUAUCGCU
rnacentral:lncRNA from 1 species